GACGAACGCUGGCGGCGUGCUUAACACAUGCAAGUCGAACGGAAAGGCCCUGCUUUUGUGGGGUGCUCGAGUGGCGAACGGGUGAGUAACACGUGAGUAACCUGCCCUUGACUUUUGUAUAACUUCAGGAAACUGUGGCUAAUACCUGAUAUGAGCUCCUGCUGCAUGGUGGUGGUUGGAAAGUUUCGGCGUUUGGGGAUGGACUCGCGGCUUAUCAGCUUGUUGGUUGGGUAGUGGCUUACCAAGGCUUUGACGGGUAGCCGGCCUGAGAGGGUGACCGGCCACAUUGGGACUGAGAUACGGACCAGAAUCCUACGGGAGGCAGCAGGGGGGAAUAUUGCACAAUGGGCGGAAGCAUGAUGCAGAAACGCCGCGUGCGGGAUGAAGGCCUUCGGGUUGUAAACCGAUUUCGACUGUGACGAAGCGUGAGUGACGGUAAUGGGUAAAGAAGCACCGGCUAACUACGUG
rnacentral:rRNA from 1 species